rnacentral:lncRNA from 1 species
AUGAAGUGUGGUUUAUUAAAUAUCAGAUCUCUCUCAUCUAAAUCCUUUUUAAUAAAUGACUUGAUAAGUGACCAUCACAUAGAUCUGUUCUGUCUCACUGAAACCUGGCUGCAGCAGGAUGAAUAUGUUACUUUAAAUGAGUCGACUCCAAUGAGUCACAUCAACUAUCAUGUUCCAAGAAGUACAGGUAGAGGUGGAGGAGUAGCAGCAGUUUAUAAAUCAGAUUUAUUAAUUACUCCUAAACCUAAACAUAGUUAUAACUCAUUUGAGAGCCUCACUCUGAGCCUUUCUCACCCAGACUCUAAAACUCAGAAACCAGUUGUGUUUUGUAUUGUUUACCGUCCUCCUGCUCCAUAUUCAGAGUUCUUAACUGAAUUCUCUGAAUUCUUAUCUGACUUAGUUCUUAGCACAGAUAAAGUCAUUGUAGUGGGAGACGUUAACAUUCAUGUAGAUGUUGACAGCAACUGUCUCAGCACUGCUUUUAACUCCUUAAUAGACACUAUUGGUUUUACACAGCAGGUAAAUGAACCCACUCAUCGUUUUAACCACACUCUAGAUCUUGUCCUGACAUAUGGAGUUGAAAUUGAUAAUUUAAUAGUUCUUCCCCAAAACCCUCUGUUAUCUGACCAUUUCUUAUUAACUUUUGAAUUUAGCACAACUGACCCUAUAACAGCUGGAAAGAAAUGUUACUAUAGCAGAUGUUUAUCUGACAAUGCUGUUGCCAGAUUCAAGCAGAUGAUUCCAUCAUCUUUUGCCUCAAUGUCUUGCAGAUACACAGAGAACAGUCACCUUAAUCCUUAUGAACAGGUUGACUGUCUUGUAGAUGAUGCUGCAGCUUCUCUACGUACAGUGUUAGAGACAGUGGCCCCUCUGAAGAAGAAGACAGUGAAUCAGAGGAGGUUAGCUCCGUGGUAUAACUCAGACAUCCGCAGUCUAAAGCAAAGGACUAGACAACUAGAAAGACAGUGGCGUUCCAACAAAAUAAAUGUAAACUGCAUUGCAUGGAAGGACAGUCUAAUGAAAUAUAAAAAAGCACUUUGUGCUGCUAGAAAAACAUAUUAUUCCUCCCUAAUUGAGGAAAACAAAAACAACCCCAGGUUUCUUUUCAGCACUGUAGCCAGGCUGACAAAGAGUCAUAGCUGUAUUGAGUCUACUAUCCCCUUAAAUCUCAGCAGCAAUGACUUUAUGAACUACUUUACUAAUAAAAUUAUCAUUAGAAAAAACAUUCAGCAGCGACUUCUUCCAAAUGACAGAAAGCACUGUCUAGAUCCAUUAACUUUAAAUUUAUUAAAUCCUCUGUCUUACCUAGACAGCUUCUCCCCCAUAACUCAUAUGGAGUUAACCUCAAUAAUUAACUCUUCCAAGUCGUCCACUUGUCUUUUAGAUCCAAUCCCAACCAGAUUACUCAAAGAAGUUCUACCUUUAAUCAGCUCAUCCAUAUUAAAUCAAAUCAACCAAUCUUUACAACUAGGCUAUGUACCACAGGCUUUUAAGGUGGCUGUGGUCAAACCUCUAUUGAAAAAAACCAACCCUUGA